rnacentral:misc_RNA from 1 species
UCUCCGUAGGUGAACCCGCGGAGGGAUCAUUACAGAGUUCAUGCCCUACCGGGUAGAUCUCCCACCCUAUGUUAUUAUUACUUUGCUGCUUUGGCGGGCCGUUAGGCUCCGGCCCGACUACCGGCCCCGGCUGGUAAGCGCCCGCCAGAGGACCCAAAACCCUGAAUAUCAGUGUCGUCUGAGUACUAUAUAAUAGUUAAAACUUUCAACAACGGAUCUCUUGGUUCUG